UGGAAUUGCAAGCCCCUAAGGUAGAGAGAAAUGAAUGAAAAAUUUUGUUCUCCCAGAUUGAGUGAAUGGCAACACAUUUCUGCUGGUUGUUGCAUAGACUGAGAGAUGCCGGUCUAGACUACCAGAACUAGGAGGGCCUUGGAGAUCAUCUGUGACAGUGUUUUCCAACUGCAGCAAGCCCCAUCAAUACUGGGGUUUGGAAGUGGGUCCUGGGAGCACACUGGGGAAAAAGUAACAAGGAUUGGACUGGCUACCUGUUUUAGAAUCUUUUACGUGAGUCAACUUCUCCCUGGUACAGACACCCAAAUCGACGAAGUCCUGUCUGCCAUUGCCUCUUUUUUCCACGAGAGUACGUCUACCAUCACCAGAAGAGACGCCAAGCUCAUCUGAAACAAGAAGAUAACAUGGCAUGUUGGACUGCAUGCAGCCUCCCCAUCAAAACCACACUGAGUGUCAGAGCUCUGGGUUUUCAGUAAGAUGUGUCUGAGCUGCCAACAUAUUCCUGACGGUACCAACACUGAAAACUACAGAAAACGCUGGGAACGUUCAGUUAGAAUGUAACCAUCCCUCCCUCUCCCUCAGCUCUAGGGUGGCUGCACUCUGACGCGUUCCAAGCCAGGGAAAUCCACACCGUCUUCUGCACAGAGUGACUGAGUCUCUCAUGUUUCCCAGGGCAAAGAGAAACUAUCCAGGCCUGGACAGCAACAAUUAUGCUGGAUUAUUCUUUAAGAAGAGUCCACUUUGGUGUCUACCAUUUACUUCAGGUCACAAAAACCUGAAAGAAAUCUGCUUAGAUGAGCACAGCUUUGAAAUGCCUUCAGCACUGGAACAGUAACUUUAGUGCCUCAAAAUCCAGGAUUUUAGGGCAAAACAAUGCGCUGACCCUCUGGGUUCAUCUGUCUUGUAAUGUAGUCACUAUAUGUGCUGUACCCAAAUACCCCUUCUUCCUGUUCUAAACUACUUUCCAGUCCUUACUCCAUGGAAGUGGAGUCUCUCAGGAAGACUUAAGAACAAACAAAACAGUUUUUAAAAUGCUCUAAUUCUUAAGAGAUUGAUUUUAACUGAC
rnacentral:lncRNA from 1 species